rnacentral:ribozyme from 11 species
GGAAAGAAGGAAAGAAAGAGAAAGGAAGAAGGAACAAAACAGAAAUGCAAGGAGUUCCUUUUUUCCUUUCUCCUUCAAGUCUUGCAUGCGCAUGAAUGAAUCUGCUUCUCUUUCCUUUCUCCCUUUGUAUCUUUCCCUUUC